UAAGGAGAGAAAUUAUACACAGUUGGUGGGACAACCAAAACAACAGAUCAGAACUGGCAGAGGGCAGAAUCUAACGAAGCAGCGACACUGAGAAAAAAAAUAUGGUUCAAAAUUACCGGCAACCUCUAACAGAAAGAAGAGAUGGAAACCUUCGUUAAUUGUCUCAACUUAAAAAGAGCCAAAAAUGCAUUUGCACGCUGUCUUUGGAUAAUCCUCACAGAAUGUGAGGAGAAAAUUCAGGAACUACUGACAAAAUUCUUGUUCAUAUAAAAGGAGUUUGUUUACCAAAAAAACUCUGUUUAUUAUUUUCAGUCCAUGGUAGGAAGGGAUUCAAUGUCCCUCUGUUAUGCUAUAUGUCUUUCUGCCAAUCUAUUAUAAAUAUUUUUAUUUAAAACAAUACAUUCAUUUACAAUUAAUUACAUUCAAAUAUUUGAUUUAAAGGAGGCCUGACCUCAACAUGUGAAAUUAAUUUAACUAGUCUCACACAGUUUUCUUCCAACAUGACUGGAUUAAGAUGCUGACUAAAUCAGUUGGAGAACAAGAAAUGGAAUUACUGAGAGUGUCAUGGAGUCCUGCUGACCUAAUUUGGUGAAGAACUGAUGGAGGACACCCAUGAGGUCUCCCAGUGUGAGUCCAUAGUCGGCCACCACGCCCUCUAUCUGAUGGAACUCGGCCAGGUGGGUGGCGUCCAACGUCUCGUUCCUGAACACCCGGUCGAUGGAGAAAUACUUGACGGGGGUGAACUUCUCCUGGUGGUUGAGCAGACGGUUGGACAUGACCCAAGGAUGUGCAGUGUUGAAGUGCUCAAUCUCAACUAGUACUGCCAGGAGCACACCAUGGUGUGUAUUAAGAGGGGUUACACUGCUGAAAGGCAUGCUGGGUUCAGCUUGCUCUCUGUAGGUGGCUACAAAACAGCUGAAGAAUGACAGGCUGGAUAUUUUACAUUCUAGCAAAAUCUUGCAAGUCUGUCGUUUUGUUUUUGACUCCCAGAAACAGCCUGCUCCCAAAUACCUAGCUGUUAGCAGUGGCAAUUAAUUCAUCUAUAUUUAGCUAAGCUGGAGUGUGUA